rnacentral:rRNA from 1 species
AAAGGAAUAGACGGGACCCCGCACAAGCGGUGGAUCAUGUUGUUUAAUUCGAAGAUACGCGAAGAACCUUACCAGGUCUUGACAUCCUCUGCAAAGCUAUAGAGAUAUAGUGGAGGUUACCAGAGAGACAGGUGGUGCAUGGUUGUCGUCAGCUCGUGUCGUGAGAUGUUCGGUUAAGUCCGGUAACGAGCGCAACCCUUAUUGCUAGUUGCCAUCAUUAAGUUGGGGACUCUAGCGAGACUGCCAGUGACAAACUGGAGGAAGGUGGGGAUGACGUCAAAUCAUCAUGCCCCUUAUGACCUGGGCUACAAACGUGAUACAAUGGAUAGAACAAAGGGAGGCGAAAGGGUGACCUGGAGCAAAUCUCAUAAAAAUAUUCUCAGUUCGGAUUGAAGUCUGCAACUCGACUUCAUGAAGCCGGAAUCGCUAGUAAUCGUGAAUCAGAACGUCACGGUGAAUACGUUCUCGGGGUUUGUACACACCGCCCGU